UGAAUUUAUUUUAUAAGGACAAUUGCUUAUAUAUUCUUGAAAAAUUUUUAACUCUUCGAUUUAUCCUUCUUAGAAGGUCAAUAUUAAAAAUACCCUUUCUACGUGCCAACCUAUUUCUAAUAUAUCUCUAUAAUUAAAAUCUAUUAAUUAAUUCUAUUAUAUCUGUAAAAUUAUUAUUUUGUCUUUUCAAAUAUAUCCUUCAACCAUCACUGACUUUCUUAUUUGCCCUUAAAGUCAGGGGCACAAAAAGUAUUUUGACUUUUGGUCUUUUCUAAUAUAUCCCUCUACCGUCACCAAUAUUUCUUAUUUGCCCUUAAGUUAAGAGCAAAAUUGACAUUUUAAUUUUUUUUAACUGUGGUAGAUAUUUAACUUAAGUUUAACCUAAGUUAACUUAAGAAAAGAUAACUGCGGGGGUAUUUUGCAAUAACGGUGGAACAUAUGAGGAAUAUUUUAGAAAGAAAAAAAAAAGAAUAAAUCGGAUAUUUUCAAACGUAUGAGUGAUAUAUAGGUAAUUAUCCAUAUUUUAUAUUAUAUAUAAUAUGUAUAUAAAUAUUUGAUAUUAUAUUUAAAUUUAUAUUUUAAAAAAUUAUACUUAAUGUAAUAUAUUUUAAAAUAUUGAAAAUAAAAAUAAUUGUUUUGGGUUUGGAAUUUUGGGCUCGAGCUCUGUCUCGGAUUACGAAUAUUUCGCCAGGUUUUUGUUUGAAUAUGAAUUUUAAAAUCCAUCGGAUUCACGUUCGGAUUUGAUUUUCGGGUUUAAAAUCGGGUUUGUGUUCGGAUUUUUAAAAAUUCACCCCGAAUCCGACCGGUU
rnacentral:lncRNA from 1 species